rnacentral:rRNA from 1 species
AACGAACGCUGGCGGCAUGCCUAACACAUGCAAGUCGAACGAGACCUUCGGGUCUAGUGGCGCACGGGUGCGUAACGCGUGGGAACCUGCCCUUAGGUUCGGAAUAACUCCCCGAAAGGGGUGCUAAUACCGGAUAAUGUCUUCGGACCAAAGAUUUAUCGCCUUUGGAUGGGCCCGCGUUGGAUUAGCUAGUUGGUAGGGUAAAAGCCUACCAAGGCGACGAUCCAUAGCUGGUCUGAGAGGAUGAUCAGCCACACUGGGACUGAGACACGGCCCAGACUCCUGCGGGAGGAGGCGGUGGGGAAUAUUGGAGGAUGGGCGACUGCCUGAUCAACUCAUCCCGCGUGAGUAAUGACGGCCUGAUGGUUGUAACGUUCUUUUACCAGGGAUGAUAAGGAACGUACCGGGGGAAAAAGCCCCGGCUAAACCCGUG